CGCGUAGGCGGGUUCUCAAGUCUGUGGUGAAAUCCUCCAGCUUAACUGGAGAAGUGCCGUGGAUACUGGGGACCUCGAGGUGGGUAGGGGCAUCUGGAACUGCCGGUGGAGCGGUGAAAUGCGUUGAUAUCGGCAGGAACUCCGAUGGCGAAGGCAAGGUGCUGGACCCUCUCUGACGCUGAUGCGCGAAAGCCAGGGGAGCGAACG
rnacentral:rRNA from 1 species